GCUACCAUGCAGUCGAGCGGUAGCACAGAGAGCUUGCUCUCGGGUGACGAGCGGCGGACGGGUGAGUAAUGUCUGGGAAACUGCCUGAUGGAGGGGGAUAACUACUGGAAACGGUAGCUAAUACCGCAUAAUGUCGCAAGACCAAAGUGGGGGACCUUCGGGCCUCAUGCCAUCAGAUGUGCCCAGAUGGGAUUAGCUAGUAGGUGGGGUAACGGCUCACCUAGGCGACGAUCCCUAGCUGGUCUGAGAGGAUGACCAGCCACACUGGAACUGAGACACGGUCCAGACUCCUACGGGAGGCAGCAGUGGGGAAUAUUGCACAAUGGGCGCAAGCCUGAUGCAGCCAUGCCGCGUGUGUGAAGAAGGCCUUCGGGUUGUAAAGCACUUUCAGCGGGGAGGAAGGCGAUAAGGUUAAUAACCUUGUCGAUUGACGUUACCCGCAGAAGAAGCACCGGCUAACUCCGUGCCAGCAGCCGCGGUAAUACGGAGGGUGCAAGCGUUAAUCGGAAUUACUGGGCGUAAAGCGCACGCAGGCGGUCUGUCAAGUCGGAUGUGAAAUCCCCGGGCUCAACCUGGGAACUGCAUUCGAAACUGGCAGGCUAGAGUCUUGUAGAGGGGGGUAGAAUUCCAGGUGUAGCGGUGAAAUGCGUAGAGAUCUGGAGGAAUACCGGUGGCGAAGGCGGCCCCCUGGACAAAGACUGACGCUCAGGUGCGAAAGCGUGGGGAGCAAACAGGAUUAGAUACCCUGGUAGUCCACGCCGUAAACGAUGUCGAUUUGGAGGUUGUGCCCUUGAGGCGUGGCUUCCGGAGCUAACGCGUUAAAUCGACCGCCUGGGGAGUACGGCCGCAAGGUUAAAACUCAAAUGAAUUGACGGGGGCCCGCACAAGCGGUGGAGCAUGUGGUUUAAUUCGAUGCAACGCGAAGAACCUUACCUGGUCUUGACAUCCACAGAACUUUCCAGAGAUGGAUUGGUGCCUUCGGGAACUGUGAGACAGGUGCUGCAUGGCUGUCGUCAGCUCGUGUUGUGAAAUGUUGGGUUAAGUCCCGCAACGAGCGCAACCCUUAUCCUUUGUUGCCAGCGGUUAGGCCGGGAACUCAAAGGAGACUGCCAGUGAUAAACUGGAGGAAGGUGGGGAUGACGUCAAGUCAUCAUGGCCCUUACGACCAGGGCUACACACGUGCUACAAUGGCAUAUACAAAGAGAAGCGACCUCGCGAGAGCAAGCGGACCUCAUAAAGUAUGUCGUAGUCCGGAUUGGAGUCUGCAACUCGACUCCAUGAAGUCGGAAUCGCUAGUAAUCGUAGAUCAGAAUGCUACGGUGAAUACGUUCCCGGGCCUUGUACACACCGCCCGUCACACCAUGGGAGUGGGUUGCAAAAGAAGUAGGUAGCUUAACCUUCGGGAGGGCGCUUACCACUUUGUGAUUCAUGACUGGGGUGAAGUCGUAA
rnacentral:rRNA from 1 species